rnacentral:rRNA from 1 species
UACGUAGGGUGCAAGCGUUGUCCGGAAUUAUUGGGCGUAAAGAGCUCGUAGGCGGUCUGUCGCGCCUGCUGUGAAAACUCGGGGCUUAACCCCGGGCCUGCAGUGGGUACGGGCAGACUAGAGUGCGGUAGGGGAGACUGGAAUUCCUGGUGUAGCGGUGAAAUGCGCAGAUAUCAGGAGGAACACCGGUGGCGAAGGCGGGUCUCUGGGCCGUAACUGACGCUGAGGAGCGAAAGCAUGGGGAGCGAACAGG